GACGAACGCUGGCGGCGUGCCUAAUACAUGCAAGUUGAGCGCUGAAGGUUGGUACUUGUACCAACUGGAUGAGCAGCGAACGGGUGAGUAACGCGUGGGGAAUCUGCCUUUGAGCGGGGGACAACAUUUGGAAACGAAUGCUAAUACCGCAUAAAAACUUUAAACACAAGUUUUAAGUUUGAAAGAUGCAAUUGCAUCACUCAAAGAUGAUCCCGCGUUGUAUUAGCUAGUUGGUGAGGUAAAGGCUCACCAAGGCGAUGAUACAUAGCCGACCUGAGAGGGUGAUCGGCCACAUUGGGACUGAGACACGGCCCAAACCCUACGGGAGGCAGCAGUAGGGAAUCUUCGGCAAUGGACGAAAGUCUGACCGAGCAACGCCGCGUGAGUGAAGAAGGUUUUCGGAUCGUAAAACUCAGUUGGUAGAGAAGAACGUUGGUGAGAGUGGAAAGCUCAUCAAGUGACGGUAACUACCCAGAAAGGGACGGCUAACUACGUG
rnacentral:rRNA from 1 species